rnacentral:rRNA from 1 species
UACGGAGGGUCCAAGCGUUGUCCGGAAUUAUUGGGCGUAAAGAGCUCGUAGGCGGCUUGUUGCGUCGACUGUGAAAACCCGUGGCUCAACCAUGUGGUCUGCAGUCGAUACGGGCAGGCUAGAAUUCGGUAGGGGAGACUGGAAUUCCUGGUGUAGCGGUGAAAUGCGCAGAUAUCAGGAGGAACACCGAUGGCGAAGGCAGGUCUCUGGGCCGAUAUUGACGCUGAGGAGCGAAAGCGUGGGGAGCGAACAGG